rnacentral:rRNA from 1 species
CGGGUGAGUAACACGUGGGUAACCUGCCUGUAAGACUGGGAUAACUCCGGGAAACCGGGGCUAAUACCGGAUGCUUGAUUGAACCGCAUGGUUCAAUCAUAAAAGGUGGCUUUUAGCUACCACUUACAGAUGGACCCGCGGCGCAUUAGCUAGUUGGUGAGGUAACGGCUCACCAAGGCGACGAUGCGUAGCCGACCUGAGAGGGUGAUCGGCCACACUGGGACUGAGACACGGCCCAGACUCCUACGGGAGGCAGCAGUAGGGAAUCUUCCGCAAUGGACGAAAGUCUGACGGAGCAACGCCGCGUGAGUGAUGAAGGUUUUCGGAUCGUAAAACUCUGUUGUUAGGGAAGAACAAGUACCGUUCGAAUAGGGCGGUACCUUGACGGUACCUAACCAGAAAGCCACGGCUAACUACGUGCCAGCAGCCGCGGUAAUACGUAGGUGGCAAGCGUUGUCCGGAAUUAUUGGGCGUAAAGCGCGCGCAGGCGGUUUCUUAAGUCUGAUGUGAAAGCCCC